rnacentral:rRNA from 1 species
CCUACGGGUCGCACCAGUGGGGAAUAUUGGACAAUGGGCGCAAGCCUGAUCCAGCCAUGCCGCGUGUGUGAAGAAGGCCUUUUGGUUGUAAAGCACUUUAAGCGAGGAGGAGGCUACUUGGAUUAAUACUCUAGGAUAGUGGACGUUACUCGCAGAAUAAGCACCGGCUAACUCUGUGCCAGCAGCCGCGGUAAUACAGAGGGUGCGAGCGUUAAUCGGAUUUACUGGGCGUAAAGCGUGCGUAGGCGGCUUUUUAAGUCGGAUGUGAAAUCCCUGAGCUUAACUUAGGAAUUGCAUUCGAUACUGGGAAGCUAGAGUAUGGGAGAGGAUGGUAGAAUUCCAGGUGUAGCGGUGAAAUGCGUAGAGAUCUGGAGGAAUACCGAUGGCGAAGGCAGCCAUCUGGCCUAAUACUGACGCUGAGGUACGAAAGCAUGGGGAGCAAACAGGAUUAGAUACCCUAGUAGUC